rnacentral:lncRNA from 1 species
UUCUGAUGAUGAUGUGAGAUGAUGAAAUGCCUUUGUGAUGAGUGAAGUGAGGUGAAUGUCAUUGGCAUUGUGACAUAGUGUUAGGCUACUGCGGACCUGCUGACGUUAUGUCAGAAGGGGAUGAGGUGCUACAGGUGGUCCGGGUCACUGGGCCGUGACAGUGUUGAUGGUUGAACGUCAGGAGCCAAUGAUGUUGAUAGUUGGGGAUCCUGGAUAGUUGAAAGAUUUUUUGCUGAAAACUUUUGGAAGAACAUUGUAAUCAGAAGUUGUCCCUAACUCUUCAAAGCUUUGCUGCAGACGUUCUAAUCCUUUGGUGAUCAUGCAGAUGACUCAAGUUCUCCCAAUUCCUGGUUUAACACUUGUCAAUGGCCUUCAAUGUGUUCUCCCACUUCCU